rnacentral:rRNA from 1 species
GCAUAACGCGAAGAACCUUACCAAGGCUUGACAUCGCCGGAAAUCCCGUAGAGAUGCGGGGUCCUUUUGGGCCGGUGACAGGUGGUGCAUGGCUGUCGUCAGCUCGUGUCGUGAGAUGUUGGGUUAAGUCCCGCAACGAGCGCAACCCUCGUUCCAUGUUGCCAGCACUUCGGGUGGGACUCAUGGGAGUACCGCCGGGUCGAACUCGGAGGAAGGUGGGGAUGACGUCAAGUCAUCAUGCCCCUUAUGUCUUGGGCUGCAAACAUGCUACAAUGGCCGGUACAGAGGGCUGCGAUACCGUGAGGUGGAGCGAAUCCCUUAAAGCCGGUCUCAGUUCGGAUCGAAGUCUGCAACUCGACUUCGUGAAGUCGGAGUCGCUAGUAAUUGCAGAUCAGCAACGCUGCGGUGAAUACGUUCCCGGGUCUUGUACACACCG